rnacentral:rRNA from 1 species
UACGAAGGGGGCUAGCGUUGCUCGGAAUCACUGGGCGUAAAGGGUGCGUAGGCGGGUCUUUAAGUCAGGGGUGAAAUCCUGGAGCUCAACUCCAGAACUGCCUUUGAUACUGAAGAUCUUGAGUUCGGGAGAGGUGAGUGGAACUCCGAGUGUAGAGGUGAAAUUCGUAGAUAUUCGGAAGAACACCAGUGGCGAAGGCGGCUUACUGGUCCGGUACUGACGCUGAGGUGCGAAAGCGUGGGGAGCAAACAGG